rnacentral:rRNA from 1 species
CGUGGGUAACCUGCCCAUAAGACUGGGAUAACUCCGGGAAACCGGGGCUAAUACCGGAUAACAUUUUGAACAGCAUGGUUCGAAAUUGAAAGGCGGCUUCGGCUGUCACUUAUGGAUGGACCCGCGUCGCAUUAGCUAGUUGGUGAGGUAACGGCUCACCAAGGCAACGAUGCGUAGCCAACCUGAGAGGGUGAUCGGCCACACUGGGACUGAGACACGGCCCAGACUCCUACGGGAGGCAGCAGUAGGGAAUCUUCCGCAAUGGACGAAAGUCUGACGGAGCAACGCCGCGUGAGUGAUGAAGGCUUUCGGGUCGUAAAACUCUGUUGUUAGGGAAGAACAAGUGCUAGUUGAAUAAGCUGGCACCUUGACGGUACCUAACCAGAAAGCCACGGCUAACUACGUGCCAGCAGCCGCGGUAAUACGUAGGUGGCAAGCGUUAUCCGGAAUUAUUGGGCGUA